CCUACGGGAGGCUGCAGUGAGGAAUAUUGGUCAAUGGACGAGAGUCUGAACCAGCCAAGUAGCGUGAAGGAUGACUGCCCUAUGGGUUGUAAACUUCUUUUAUAUGGGAAUAAAAUGUUCCAAGUGUGGGAUUUUGUAUGUACCAUAUGAAUAAGGAUCGGCUAACUCCGUGCCAGCAGCAGCGGUAAUACGGAGGAUCCGAGAGUUAUCCGGAUUUAUUGGGUUUAAAGGGAGAGUAGGUGGAUUGUUAAGUCAGUUGUGAAAGUUUGCGGCUCAACCGUAAAAUUGCAGUUGAAACUGGCAGUCUUGAGUACAGUAGAGGUGGGCGGAAUUCGUGGUGUAGCGGUGAAAUGCUUAGAUAUCACGAAGAACUCCGAUUGCGAAGGCAGCUCACUGGACUGCAACUGACACUGAGGCUCGAAAGUGUGGGUAGCAAACAGGAUUAGAUACCCGUGUAGUC
rnacentral:rRNA from 1 species